UACGUAGGGUGCAAGCGUUAAUCGGAAUUACUGGGCGUAAAGCGUGCGCAGGCGGUUGUGCAAGACAGGUGUGAAAUCCCCGGGCUUAACCUGGGAACUGCACUUGUGACUGCAAGGCUGGAGUACGGCAGAGGGGGAUGGAAUUCCGCGUGUAGCAGUGAAAUGCGUAGAUAUGCGGAGGAACACCGAUGGCGAAGGCAAUCCCCUGGGCCUGUACUGACGCUCAUGCACGAAAGCGUGGGGAGCAAACAGG
rnacentral:rRNA from 1 species